rnacentral:rRNA from 1 species
UACGUAGGGUGCAAGCGUUACUCGGAAUCAUUGGGCGUAAAGCGCGUGUAGGUGGCUAUGUAAGUCUGAUGUGAAAGCCCUGGACUCAAUCCAGGAAGUGCAUUGGAUACUGCAUGGCUAGAGUACAGGAGAGGUGGACGGAAUUCCUGGUGUAGAGGUGAAAUUCGUAGAUAUCAGGAGGAACAACAGAGGCGAAGGCGGUUCACUGGACUGUAACUGACACUCAGACGCGAAAGUGUGGGGAGCAAAC